GAAGACAGUCUGUUCUCCAUCACUCAACAGACACAUCUGUUGUAAAUGCAGAGCUUGAAGGGAACACUUAAAAUAAGAAAAAAACUACACAACUCACUUUUUCAGACACAAUGAAAACCAUUUCAUUCAUCUCUUGCCUUUUCUAUGCAGUUUCACUAACAGAUGGAGCCAUAAUCAGUGUAGAGGGAUUUGAAGGAAGGAGUGUCUCCUUCCAGUGCUCGCACAAUUUUGCAUGGAGCAACAACAAGUAUUUCUGCAAAGAUCCAUGUACAAGCACAGGAGACAUACUGGUUACUGUAGAACCUGGCAGAAGAGCAGAGUCAGGGAGAAUAACUCUGGUGGACUCUGGGGAUGGAUCCUUCACUGUGACCUUCAGUCAUCUCCAGCUGUCAGACUCAAAGAAAUACUGGUGUGGAGUAGAAAGGCCUUUUUUUGACACAUAU